AAUGGAGAGUUUGAUCCUGGCUCAGGAUGAACGCUGGCGGUCUGCUUAACACAUGCAAGUCGAACGGGAAUCUUCGGAUUCUAGUGGCGGACGGGUGAGUAACGCGUGAGAAUCUGCCUUCAGGACGGGGAUAACAGUUGGAAACGACUGCUAAGACCGGAUGUGCCGAGAGGUGAAAUAUUUAUAGCCUGAAGAUGAGCUCGCGUCCGAUUAGCUAGUUGGUAAGGUAAAAGCGUACCAAGGCGACGAUCGGUAGCUGGUCUGAGAGGACGAUCAGCCACACUGGGACUGAGACACGGCCCAGACUCCUACGGGAGGCAGCAGUGGGGAAUUUUCCGCAAUGGGCGAAAGCCUGACGGAGCAAGACCGCGUGGGGGAGGAAGGUUCUUGGAUUGUAAACCCCUUUUCUCAGGGAAGAACAAAAUGACGGUACCUGAGGAAUCAGCAUCGGCUAACUCCGUGCCAGCAGCCGCGGUAAUACGGAGGAUGCAAGCGUUAUCCGGAAUAAUUGGGCGUAAAGCGUCCGUAGGUGGCUGUUCAAGUCUGCCGUUAAAGACCGGGGCUUAACCCUGGAAAGGCGGUGGAAACUGAACGGCUAGAGUGCAGUAGGGGUAGAGGGAAUUCCCAGUGUAGCGGUGAAAUGCGUAGAGAUUGGGAAGAACACCGGUGGCGAAAGCGCUCUGCUGGACUGCAACUGACACUGAGGGACGAAAGCUAGGGGAGCGAAUGGGAUUAGAUACCCCAGUAGUCCUAGCCGUAAACGAUGGAUACUAGGUGUGGCCUGUAUCGACCCGGGCCGCGCCGUAGCUAACGCGUUAAGUAUCCCGCCUGGGGAGUACGCACGCAAGUGUGAAACUCAAAGGAAUUGACGGGGGCCCGCACAAGCGGUGGAGUAUGUGGUUUAAUUCGAUGCAACGCGAAGAACCUUACCAGGACUUGACAUGUCCGGAAUCCACUGGAAACAGAGGAGUGCCUUCGGGAACCGGAACACAGGUGGUGCAUGGCUGUCGUCAGCUCGUGUCGUGAGAUGUUGGGUUAAGUCCCGCAACGAGCGCAACCCUCGUCCUUAGUUGCCAUCAUUCAGUUGGGCACUUUAGGGAGACUGCCGGUGACAAACCGGAGGAAGGUGGGGAUGACGUCAAGUCAGCAUGCCCCUUACGUCCUGGGCUACACACGUACUACAAUGCUACGGACAAAGGGCAGCAAGUUAGCAAUGACAAGCAAAUCCCAUAAACCGUGGCUCAGUUCAGAUCGCAGGCUGCAACUCGCCUGCGUGAAGGCGGAAUCGCUAGUAAUCGCCGGUCAGCAUACGGCGGUGAAUCCGUUCCCGGGCCUUGUACACACCGCCCGUCACACCAUGGGAGUUGGCCACGCCCGAAGUCGUUACCCUAACCGCUUGCGGAGGGGGACGCCGAAGGCAGGGCUGAUGACUGGGGUGAAGUCGUAACAAGGUAGCCGUACCGGAAGGUGUGGCUGGAUCACCUCCUUUU
rnacentral:rRNA from 1 species